CGGCCCGUGUCCUUACCUCUGAUCAGGGUCACAGAGAUGUGUGGAUGGGGAGCAUCCAGGAAGUGCUAGUUUUGGCAUCACCUCAUCCCAGGUGACAAAGCAGCAGCUGGUUUAUUCGCUUGACACGAUCAGCCACACAAAAGCCCUGAGAAGGUACGGGCCAGGGAGUGAUGGCCAGAAUGGACCACAUAGACUCUGAAAGAGUUGUAUCCGGCCAAUUACCUUACUCUUCUUAGUUGUCCUGGUCACUGCUCCACCCUCUCUGCUGAUCCGGGGAGGGCUGCAGACUACCACAUGCCUCCUCC